rnacentral:tRNA from 1 species
GCCUGGCUGGCUCAGUUGGUAGAGCACCUGACUCUUGAUCUCAGGUCAUGAGUUUGAGACCCAUGUUGGGUG